GACGAACGCUGGCGGCGUGCUUAACACAUGCAAGUCGAACGGAAAGGCCCUGCUUUUGUGGGGUGCUCGAGUGGCGAACGGGUGAGUAACACGUGAGUAACCUGUCCUUGACUUUGGGAUAACUUCAGGAAACUGGGGCUCAUACCGGAUAGGAGCUCUUGCUGCAUGGGGGGGGUUGGAAAGUUUCGGCGGUUGGGGAUGGACUCGCGGCUUAUCAGCUUGUUGGUGGGGUAGUGGCUUACCAAGGUUUUGACGGGUAGCCGGCCUGGGAGGGUGACCGGCCACAUUGGGACUAAGAGACGGCCCAGACUCCUACGGGAGGCAGCAGUGGGGAAUAUUGCACAAUGGGCGGAAGCCUGAUGCAGCAACGCCGCGUGCGGGAUGACGUCCUUCGGGUUGUAAACCGCUUUCGCCUGUGACGAAGCGUGAGUGACGGUAAUGGGUAAAGAAGCACCGGCUAACUACGUG
rnacentral:rRNA from 1 species